UGGAGGGGCACCUCCAAUUUUUUCUUUAGUAAAGAAGACACACUGUUCUUUAGGCUUAGACCUAGUCAUUUUCUCUUCUCUACCAUGAAACUCCUUGCCCACUCUCUAUAGCCUAGCUGGAUACCUUACCUCAGAAGUCUUCCUGGCCACGAAAGGACUAGGAAGCAUCAUCUGUGCUUCCCCAAGACGUACCAUACUAUAUCCUCCAACAAGUUCUUCUUUUGACUUGCCUCCCCUAGUAAACUGUCAGCGAAUUCAAGGCAGGUAUGAUGUCAUGUUCUUUGAAUCUUCAGCACCAUCAGCAGUGCCCCCAAAUAUGGGAUGGAAAUCUAGCCAACUCCUUGCUCUCCAGAUGGUUUAUAAAGAUUUGGAACAUUCCAUAAAUGGAAAAACUGACCAGCUACAGAGAAGCCUCCUGCAAUCCUCAUCUAAUUUUACAGAAAAGAAGCUUUCCUUUUGACAUUUUUUCUUUGUUUUACACCUUCUAGGGCCAUCUUUAUUUCCCUGUAGUGUUUUUCAAUCCACAGUAGAGUUGUUUCUUUUUCUUUGUGUUUUACUUUGUUAUUUUGGAAACGUUAAACUUUCAAUUUAGAAGAGUAUAGCAAAUCUCUGUGUACCCACCACUCACUUGAGAAUGAUGAGCUCAUGGCCAGUCUGGUUUCUUCUGGACUCCUACCUACUUUUCUCAACCUCUCUGAAUAGCCUGUCAUUUCAUCUAUAAAUAUUUCAGUACAUACCUCUAAAAGACAAGCAUUCUGUCCUAAUCGAUACCACAGUAGUAACUAGCCCCCAUUAAAGUCAAAUCUUCAUUCAGCGUUUA